rnacentral:misc_RNA from 1 species
GAAAAAGUCUAAUGGCUCCACCACACAAUAGGGAGUUAACGAUGCAAAAGACUACCAGAAUUAAAAGGCAAACAUCACCAUGCUAAUAUGAACACAGUUGGCACCCUAUCAUCUAAGUUUUCCAAUGGAGUCAUCCGAACACCAUCGACUUCAGUCGCUUUCAUCUUCAGCAUCUUGUCCUGACCCUUCACUUGAUUCCCCACCAUCAUUGACGCCAUCAUCAG